rnacentral:rRNA from 1 species
AGAGUUUGAUCAUGGCUCAGAUUGAACGCUGGCGGCAGGCCUAACACAUGCAAGUCGAGCGGUAGCACAGAGGAGCUUGCUCCUUGGGUGACGAGCGGCGGACGGGUGAGUAAUGUCUGGGAAACUGCCUGAUGGAGGGGGAUAACUACUGGAAACGGUAGCUAAUACCGCAUAACCUCGCAAGAGCAAAGAGGGGGACCUUAGGGCCUCUCGCCAUCAGAUGUGCCCAGAUGGGAUUAGCUAGUAGGUGAGGUAAUGGCUCACCUAGGCGACGAUCCCUAGCUGGUCUGAGAGGAUGACCAGCCACACUGGAACUGAGACACGGUCCAGACUCCUACGGGAGGCAGCAGUGGGGAAUAUUGCACAAUGGGCGCAAGCCUGAUGCAGCCAUGCCGCGUGUGUGAAGAAGGCCUUCGGGUUGUAAAGCACUUUCAGCGAGGAGGAAGGCGGUAAGGUUAAUAACCUUAUCGAUUGACGUUACUCGCAGAAGAAGCACCGGCUAACUCCGUGCCAGCAGCCGCGGUAAUACGGAGGGUGCAAGCGUUAAUCGGAAUGACUGGGCGUAAAGCGCACGCAGGCGGUCUGUUAAGUUGGAUGUGAAAUCCCCGGGCUUAACCUGGGAACUGCAUUCAAAACUGACAGGCUAGAGUCUUGUAGAGGGGGGUAGAAUUCCAGGUGUAGCGGUGAAAUGCGUAGAGAUCUGGAGGAAUACCGGUGGCGAAGGCGGCCCCCUGGACAAAGACUGACGCUCAGGUGCGAAAGCGUGGGGAGCAAACAGGAUUAGAUACCCUGGUAGUCCACGCUGUAAACGAUGUCGAUUUGGAGGUUGUGCCCUUGAGGCGUGGCUUCCGGAGCUAACGCGUUAAAUCGACCGCCUGGGGAGUACGGCCGCAAGGUUAAAACUCAAAUGAAUUGACGGGGGCCCGCACAAGCGGUGGAGCAUGUGGUUUAAUUCGAUGCAACGCGAAGAACCUUACCUACUCUUGACAUCCAGAGAAUUCGCUAGAGAUAGCUUAGUGCCUUCGGGAACUCUGAGACAGGUGCUGCAUGGCUGUCGUCAGCUCGUGUUGUGAAAUGUUGGGUUAAGUCCCGCAACGAGCGCAACCCUUAUCCUUUGUUGCCAGCGAUUCGGUCGGGAACUCAAAGGAGACUGCCGGUGAUAAACCGGAGGAAGGUGGGGAUGACGUCAAGUCAUCAUGGCCCUUACGAGUAGGGCUACACACGUGCUACAAUGGCGUAUACAAAGAGAAGCGACCUCGCGAGAGCAAGCGGACCUCAUAAAGUACGUCGUAGUCCGGAUUGGAGUCUGCAACUCGACUCCAUGAAGUCGGAAUCGCUAGUAAUCGUAGAUCAGAAUGCUACGGUGAAUACGUUCCCGGGCCUUGUACACACCGCCCGUCACACCAUGGGAGUGGGUUGCAAAAGAAGUAGGUAGCUUAACCUUCGGGAGGGCGCUUACCACUUUGUGAUUCAUGACUGGGGUGAAGUCGUAACAAGGUAACCGUAGGGGAACCUGCGGUUGGAUCACCU